UACGACUAUAGGAACCCGCUCCACAUAAUCCAGCAGCCCAGAGUAGUAAUCGGCCCAUAGACGACCUACAGGAGCUGCUGUGCAUCACAUCUCCCUUUCUCAAAAAAAAAAAAAACUCUUUCCUCAACCACGCUCGCCGCUGGGCACGGCGGCUCGAUCGCCUCACUGCCUCGGAAACGAAGCCGUCGCACGCACGCCAAUGCUCAGGAGGCGAGGAGCUCGCCUCUGAUCCACGCGACGAGGAGGGGGAACAAAACGCGCCUGAGACGGUCGUUUUUGGCAGCACUGGCCGGUGAUUGUCGAAGUUCGCCGGCCGGCCCUCUUCCAUACGAAUUUGCUACUGAAGUUUGGUUUGCCGAGAAGAGUUACAAAUGAAAGGUGUGGCUAACAUUGAGCAGACACUUAAGAAGGAAUUCCCUAGGUGGUUUGAGAAGCAUAUUCAUAAUAUAGGAGAACAGAAUGUUUCAGAGGAUUUGUACUCGCUAUCAUGUGGCCCAGACAAGCCUUUACUGGUGUACUCUGCCUACAAUGUGAAUGGUGUUCG